rnacentral:lncRNA from 1 species
AUGGUUAGUUUUAAAAUUAACUUAGGAAAAGACAAAGAAAUUAAAAAUAAGAUUAUUAAUUACUUCAGUUACAUUCCAUUGUAAAUAAAUUGUAAAACUUAAUGUUAUUUUCUAAAUGUAAUUCAUUUUUAAUAGAUUUGAUAAAAUAAAUAUUUAUUUCAGAAAUUUUUAAAAAUAUAUUGUAAAACUAUUUUUAGAAUCAUUUUAAAUUUUAUUUCAGAAAAUUGAUUAAUUUAAAUUUUUGUUAUCAUAAAAUAUAAUCAGAUAUUUAAAUUUAAUUUAGUUUUAAUUUAUAAACAAAAAUUAAAAUUGUAUAAAAUAUUUUAAUGAUAAUAAGAACUUAAAUUUAUUAGUAUUCAAAAAUAAAAUUUACAAAGAUUUUAAAAAAGAUUUUGUUGGAAAGCAAUAUCCAUUUCUAUUUAAAUUUUAAAAUAAAAAUAUCUUAUUUAUUAAACACAUAAACCAUGAUGUAUUACAUGUGUG